rnacentral:rRNA from 1 species
CGGGUGAGUAACACGUAGGCAACCUGCCCUCAAGCUUGGGACAACUACCGGAAACGGUAGCUAAUACCGAAUACUUGUUUUCUUCGCCUGAAGGAAACUGGAAAGACGGAGCAAUCUGUCACUUGGGGAUGGGCCUGCGGCGCAUUAGCUAGUUGGUGAGGUAACGGCUCACCAAGGCGACGAUGCGUAGCCGACCUGAGAGGGUGAUCGGCCACACUGGGACUGAGACACGGCCCAGACUCCUACGGGAGGCAGCAGUAGGGAAUCUUCCGCAAUGGGCGAAAGCCUGACGGAGCAAUGCCGCGUGAGUGAUGAAGGUUUUCGGAUCGUAAAGCUCUGUUGCCAGGGAAGAACGCUUGGGAGAGUAACUGCUCUCAAGGUGACGGUACCUGAGAAGAAAGCCCCGGCUAACUACGUGCCAGCAGCCGCGGUAAUACGUAGGGGGCAAGCGUUGUCCGGAAUUA